UACGGAGGGUGCAAGCGUUGUCCGGAUUUAUUGGGUUUAAAGGGUGCGUAGGCGGCCCGUUAAGUCAGUGGUGAAAGCCUCCAGCUCAACUGGAGAACUGCCAUUGAUACUGACGGGCUUGAGUACAGACGAGGUUGGCGGAAUUGAUUGUGUAGCGGUGAAAUGCAUAGAUACAAUCAAGGACUCCGAUUGCGUAGGCAGCUAACUAGGCUGUAACUGACGCUGAGGCACGAAAGCGUGGGGAGCGAACAGG
rnacentral:rRNA from 1 species